ensembl:snRNA U6 U6 spliceosomal RNA
GUGCUCGCUUCGGCAGCACAUACGCUGAAAUUGGAACGAUACAGAGAGGAUUAGUAUGGCCCCUGUGCAAGGAUGACACGCAAAUUCGUGAAGUAUUACAUAUUUUU